rfam:Dipodomys ordii contig_95881, whole genome shotgun sequence.
GCGGCUCAGUGGUAGAGCGCUUGCCUCGCAUGCAUGAAGCCUAGGGUUCGAGUCCUCAGCA